rnacentral:rRNA from 1 species
GACGAACGCUGGCGGGCGUGCCUAACACAUGCAAGUCGAACGAAGCAUAGCAAUAUGCUUAGUGGCGGACGGGUGAGUAACGCGUGAACAAUCUGCCCUGUACAAAGGAAUAGCCUCGGGAAACCGGGAUUAAAACCGUAUGACACUUUAGUAUCGCAUGAUAAGAAAGUCAAAUCGAAUAGAGGUAUGGGAUGAGUUCGCGUCUGAUUAGCUGGUUGGCGGGGUAACGGCCCACCAAGGCGACGAUCAGUAGCCGGCCUGAGAGGGUGAACGGCCACACUGGAACUGAGACACGGUCCAGACUCCUACGGGAGGCAGCAGUGGGGAAUAUUGCACAAUGGAGGGAACUCUGAUGCAGCGACGCCGCGUGAGUGAAGAAGGUCUUCGGAUCGUAAAACUCUGUCCUUGGUGAAGAAAAGGACGGUAGCCAAGGAGGAAGCCCCGGCUAACUACGUG